CAAUGGUGGACCGGGCGGGGGCGUCGCAAGACGCGCCGGUAUCCGAUGAGGCCGGUAAGGCUAACCCUGUUCGGCUCCACCUCC
rnacentral:antisense_RNA from 1 species